GGAUUAGAUACCCUGGUAGUCCACGCCGUAAACGAUGAUCACUCGUUGUUGGCAACACAUCGUCAGCGACUGAACGAAAGCAUUAAGUGAUCCACCUGGGAAGUACGAUCGCAAGGUUGAAACUCAAAGGAAUUGACGGGGGCCCGCACAAGCGGAGGAGCAUGUGGUUUAAUUCGAUGAUACGCGAGGAACCUUACCUGGGCUUAAAUGCAGAACGACCUCUGCCGAAAGGCAGAUUCUCUUCGGAGCGGACUGCAAGGUGCUGCAUGGUUGUCGUCAGCUCGUGCCG
rnacentral:rRNA from 1 species